rnacentral:lncRNA from 1 species
CUGGCUUUUGUAUAACUGCAUUACAGGCGUUGGCAAUUUCUUCUCUCUUUGCCUCGUCAGGAUAUUGAUUCUCAUUGAAGUAACUUUCCAUCACAGCCAGGCAUUCCUUUCUCCAUGUGAACCGACUGCCUCGCCGUAGUCUGAAGGUCCCAGAGGUAGCUGUGACUGGGGGAGGCGUCUGUCUCCAUUCUGGCUCUUCUAUUGGGAUGGGAGCG